rnacentral:rRNA from 1 species
UACGGAGGGGGCUAGCGUUGUUCGGAAUUACUGGGCGUAAAGCGCACGUAGGCGGCUUUGUAAGUUAGAGGUGAAAGCCCGGGGCUCAACCCCGGAAUAGCCUUUAAGACUGCAUCGCUUGAACACGGGAGAGGUGAGUGGAAUUCCGAGUGUAGAGGUGAAAUUCGUAGAUAUUCGGAGGAACACCAGUGGCGAAGGCGGCUCACUGGUCCGGUACUGACGCUGAGGUGCGAAAGCGUGGGGAGCAAACAGG